rnacentral:rRNA from 1 species
GACGUAGGGGGCGAGCGUUGUCCGGAUUUAUUGGGCGUAAAGAGCUCGUAGGCGGUUUGUCGCGUCGACUGUGAAAACCCGAGGCUUAACCUCGGGCCUGCAGUCGAUACGGGCAGACUAGAGUUCGGUAGGGGAGACUGGAAUUCCUGGUGUAGCGGUGAAAUGCGCAGAUAUCAGGAGGAACACCGGUGGCGAAGGCGGGUCUCUGGGCCGAUACUGACGCUGAGGAGCGAAAGCGUGGGGAGCGAACAGG